rnacentral:rRNA from 1 species
AACGAACGCUGGCGGCAGGCUUAACACAUGCAAGUCGAACGCUCCGCAAGGAGAGUGGCAGACGGGUGAGUAACGCGUGGGAACGUGCCUUUUGGUUCGGAACAACUUCGGGAAACUGGAGCUAAUACCGAAUGUGCCCUUCGGGGGGAAGAUUUAUCGCCAAAAGAUCGGCCCGCGUCAGAUUAGCUAGUUGGUGGGGUAAUGGCCUACCAAGGCGACGAUCUGUAGCUGGUCUGAGAGGAUGAUCAGCCACACUGGGACUGAGACACGGCCCAGACUCCUACGGGAGGCAGCAGUGGGGAAUCUUGGACAAUGGGCGCAAGCCUGAUCCAGCCAUGCCGCGUGAAUGAUGAAGGCCUUAGGGUUGUAAAGCUCUUUUACCCGAGAUGAUAAUGACAGUAUCGGGAGAAUAAGCUCCGGCUAACUCCGUGCCAGCAGCCGCGGUAAUGUGACUACUG